CUGUGGUUGUGCGGUCCUCUUGCCCUAGUGACCCCGCAUGUUUUUCAUAUGAGACGUUGGUGGAUGUUAGGGCUAUUAUUUCUGUUUUUGUGGGAAUCACUGACGAUUUCCAUUGUCUUGCUAUUAAUGUCUUUGCCGCUAUCGUGAUAAGGUAGACUAGUUUUCGAGCGGGUUUCGUGAUAUUUUGUGGUGAUAGGUGUAAUAGGUAUAGUUCUAUGUUGGGUUGGAUCGAUACCCCUAUGCUGUUUGUAACUAUUUCUUCUACUGCUUCCCAUACUGGACGUAUGAGUGGACAAGUCCACCAGAUAUGUAAUGUGUCCCCUUUCGCUUUUAGGCAUCUCCAGCACUUGGCUUCGGAGUUGUUGUACAUUUUAUUUAAUUUGCUAGGGGUGAGGUGCCACCUAUAGAGUAGUUUUCUGGCUAUUUCUAGGUGAGAGGCGCAUCUUGUCGCGCUUUUGUGUGCUACAAAGAUUCUACCCCAUUCCUGGGUUGUUAGUUCCCUCCCAAUAUCUGUAUGCCAUUCUUUUUGAAAUCCCCAGAGGUGCGUUUGAGGCCCCCCAUUGAGUAUGUUAUAGCAUAGUGAUAUAGUUUUGUCUUGCUUUUUCCUUUCGAGGCAUUUAGUUUCAAAGUGAGUUAGUUUUGGUUCACCAGUCACUGGUUGAGUGGGUGUAUGUGCAGUCCGUAACUUGUGUUGAAGUUGUAUAUAUGAGAAUAGGGCCCUGUUUGGUAUAUUAUGGUGUGUUUGUAAUUCUUUGAAGCUCCUCAGGGAGCCGCCUUGAGUCAUUUGGUGAAGGUAGGUUAGGUCGUGUUCAGCCCAAAU